CGGUUGAUCCUGCCGGAGGUCACUGCUAUUGGGAUUCGACUAAGCCAUGCGAGUCGAGAGGGUUCAACCCUCGGCUGACGGCUCAAUAACACGUGGAUAAUCUGCCCUUAGGUGGAGGAUAAUCCCGGGAAACUGAGAAUGAUACUCCAUAGGUCUAGGAUGCUGGAAUGCACCUAGACUGAACACUUAGGUGCCUAAGGAUGAGUCUGCGGACUAUCAGGUUGUAGUCAGGGUAAUGACCUGACUAGCCUACGACGGAUAUGGGUUGUGAGAGCAAUAACCCAGAGAUGAUAUCUGAGACACGAUAUCAGGCCCUACGGGGCGCAGCAGGCGCGAAAACUUCACACUGUGCGAAAGCACGAUGAGGGAAUCCCAAGUGCUUGCUCGCAAGAGUAAGCUGUUUUUAUGUUUAAAAUGCAUAGAGAGUAAGGGCUGGGUAAGACGGGUGCCAGCCGCCGCGGUAAUACCUGCAGCUCGAGUGGUGACCGCUAUUAUUGGGCCUAAAACGUCCGUAGCCGGUUUAAUAAAUGCCUGGGUAAAUCGUGUAGCUUAACUAUACGAAUUCCGGGUAGACUGUUAAACUUGAGACCGGGAGAAGCUAGAGGUACUCCUGGGGUAGAGGUGAAAUUCUGUAAUCCUAGGGGGACCACCAGUGGCGAAGGCGUCUAGCUAGAACGGGUCUGACGGUGAGGGACGAAGCCCUGGGGCGCAAACCGGAUUAGAUACCCGGGUAGUCCAGGGUGUAAACGCUGCUUGCUUGAUGUUAGUUGGGCUCUGAGCCCAAUUAGUGUCGGAGAGAAGUUGUUAAGCAAGCUGCCUGGGAAGUACGGUCGCAAGACUGAAACUUAAAGGAAUUGGCGGGGGAGCAC
rnacentral:rRNA from 1 species